rnacentral:lncRNA from 1 species
CCUGUGCACAGCUGCACAGAGGCCUAGCAGCAGUGGCAUAAGCCAAGAACUAUGGGUCUGCAACCUUGGGCCCAUAGGAAAAAUGACCAUCACCAAAAAGCGCAUGGCAGGAGGAGGGAUUAGGUGGUUUCAAGUACAUUGUCUAGAUUGGCUAACCACAGCAGCUGCUGUACACUACAGCGCCCUUGUUGAAACACUCCCUGACCUCUCAGUUCUCCAGAUAGAAGAGGCAUACAAGAGCUUUGACCCUCUAUCCAAGCCAUUGAUCUGCAGCAUGGGGAUGUCUGCUGAAAAGCAUUUAGU